UUUAAUAGGCUAACAUUGCAAUUUCAACAUCAUAUCAUUGAACUUGCAUUAUAUAUUGAUUUCACAAAGUUAGUCCACAUAAAUUUGUUAGUGUUUAUAUUCAAACAACACACGUGACGGACCUGACUAAACCUCAUUGGUUCUUGGGAUUCAGUACGUCACAUUGGCUUCCUGAUUCAGUUGUUCGAUACACAACGUGCGUGAUCGUUGGUAAAUGUGGAUUAAAAGUUGAAACUAAAACUGUUAAAUUAUAUAUAGUGAUCAUCAGAGGACUUGGGUGAAACAACGCGAUUCACAUGGAUUACUUCGGCGAUGUUUUUUAUUGCUGUUGCGAUUAACUUUUUGAAAUGUGAGCAGUUUUUAAGUAGGUUAUCAAGUGGAUCUGACAUCGUGGGGAAAUAUACGUUUCUUGGAUUUCAUUAAAGUACAUCGGUUUUUGUUUGAAGAUGAAUGAGAGAACAUGAAGCACAGCGGCAUUCAAAUUGACCAAUCAGAGCCGAGAAUAUCUAAUAAGUCGAAGUAGAGAUGAACAGAUGAAGAUACAGCCCGUAAAAAUACUUAUUCUUGGUGAGUGCCAUGUAGCGACGGAUCAAACGGACACUCAUGUCAAGCUUGAUGAGGG